AGGACGAACGCUGGCGGCGUGCUUAACACAUGCAAGUCGAACGGUGAAGCCUUCGGGUGGAUCAGUGGCGAACGGGUGAGUAACACGUGGGCAAUCUGCCCUGCACUCUGGGACAAGCCCUGGAAACGGGGUCUAAUACCGGAUAUUACCUGGGAGGGCAUCUUCCCGGGUGUAAAGCUCCGGCGGUGCAGGAUGAGCCCGCGGCCUAUCAGCUUGUUGGUGGGGUGAUGGCCUACCAAGGCGACGACGGGUAGCCGGCCUGAGAGGGCGACCGGCCACACUGGGACUGAGACACGGCCCAGACUCCUACGGGAGGCAGCAGUGGGGAAUAUUGCACAAUGGGCGAAAGCCUGAUGCAGCGACGCCGCGUGAGGGAUGACGGCCUUCGGGUUGUAACCUCUUUCAGCAGGGAAGAAGCGUGAGUGACGGUACCUGCAGAAGAAGCACCGGCUAACGUACGCGCCAGCAGCCGCGGU
rnacentral:rRNA from 1 species